rnacentral:RNase_P_RNA from 1 species
CCGGGGAGACAAGGUAAUCGCCGGCGUCGCAAGGCGCGGGAGGAAAGUCCGAACUCCGCAGGGCAGGAUGCCGGGUAACGCCCGGUGGGGGCAACCCCAAGGAAAGUGCCACAGAAAGCAAACCGCCUUCCCAUGAGGGAGGUAAGGGUGAAACGGCGAGGUAAGAGCUCACCGGUUCUCGUGGCAACACGAGAAGCCAGGUAAACCCCAUCCGGAGCAAGACCAAAUAGGGAAGCGCUCGAGGAUGGCCCGUCCGAAGCUUCCGGGUAGGUCGCUCGAGGCGGCGGGUAACCGUCGUCCUAGAUAAAUGAUUACCGCUCGGAAACGAGAACAGAAUUCGGCUUAUUGUCUCCCCGGACUU